rnacentral:rRNA from 1 species
UAGGGAAUCUUUCGCAAUGGGCGAAAGCCUGACGGAGCAACGCCGCGUGAGUGAUGAAGGGUUUCGGCUCGUAAAACUCUGUUAUUAGGGAAGAACAAAUGUGUAAGUAACUGUGCACAUCUUGACGGUACCUAAUCAGAAAGCCACGGCUAACUACGUGCCAGCAGCCGCGGUAAUACGUAGGUGGCAAGCGUUAUCCGGAAUUAUUGGGCGUAAAGCGCGCGUAGGCGGUUUCUUAAGUCUGAUGUGAAAGCCCACGGCUCAACCGUGGAGGGUCAUUGGAAACUGGGAAACUUGAGUGCAGAAGAGGAAAGUGGAAUUCCAUGUGUAGCGGUGAAAUGCGCAGAGAUAUGGAGGAACACCAGUGGCGAAGGCGACUUUCUGGUCUGUAACUGACGCUGAUGUGCGAAAGCGUGGGGAUCAAACAGG